CCUAUCCCAAGAGGCAUUUCAGGCAUGGCUGCUGUGUCCCAUGUGUGUUGGUUGGUGGUGGAGAGGAGAGAGGUUAUGUCUAAGCUCAGUGUUCUGACCUAUGAACCUCUGAUUGAUUAGUAGCCUAACAUU